UCGAAAAGGAGUUUUGCCGGU
rnacentral:piRNA from 1 species